UACAGAGGUCCCAAGCGUUGUUCGGAUUCAUUGGGCGUAAAGGGUGCGUAGGCGGCGCGGUAAGUCGGGUGUGAAAUCUCGGGGCUUAACUCCGAAACUGCAUUCGAUACUGCCGUGCUUGAGGACUUGAGAGGAGACUGGAAUUUACGGUGUAGCGGUGAAAUGCGUAGAUAUCGUAAGGAAGACCAGUGGCGAAGGCGGGUCUCUGGACAGUUCCUGACGCUGAGGCAUGAAGGCCAGGGGAGCAAACGGG
rnacentral:rRNA from 1 species